GACGAACGCUGGCGGCGUGCUUUACACAUGCAAGUCGAACGGUGAAGGUGGAGCUUGCUCCGCCGGAUCAGUGGCGAACGGGUGAGUAACACGUGGGCAACCUGCCCCUAACUUUGGGAUAACUACUCGAAAGAGUAGCUAAUACCGGAUACGAAGUCUGUAGGCAUCUACGGAUUUGGAAAGUUUUUCGGUUAGGGAGGGGCCCGCGGCCUAUCAGCUUAUUGGUGAGGUAGUGGCUCACCAAGGCGACGACGGGUAGCCGGCCUGAGAGGGCGACCGGCCGCACUGGGACUGAGACACGGCCCAGAUUCCUACGGGAGGCAGCGGUGGAGAAUAUUGCGCAAUGGGCGAAAGCCUGACGCAGCAACGCCGCGUGCGGGAUGAAGGCCUUCGGGUUGUAAACCGCUUUCAGCAGGGAAGAAGCGAAAGUGACGGUACCUGCAGAAAAAGCACCGGCUAACUACGUGCCAGCAGCCGCCGUAA
rnacentral:rRNA from 1 species